UCAAAUACAAGUAUCCAUUUCAUUCAUAUAAUUUCAAAUUUCAUCAUUACAAAUCAUAAUAAAUGUCCAUACAUGAAAAAUAAAAGAACAUGGCAAAUUUGACCAAGUGUUGACUUUGGUCAACAGUUGACUUUUAGGUCAACUUUGACCAAAGUCAACCCAAAUUGUUUUUACCCUAAAGACACCACAUAAUCAACCCUAGUCCCAAUUUCAUAUUCCAUGUCCAUCUUGACCUUGAGUUGACCAUUUGAAUUUGGUUUUCCACCUUAUGGCUUCAUACUUGAACUUAAUUAUGCAUGCCUUGCUUUGCUUUGGUUAUGGCCUUGUUUCAUCUUGCAAUUGUGCCCAAUAUCACCAGUACAUGGUCUUGCAUCAUGUAUGCACAAGUGAAUAUUCAACCCCUACCAUCAUCAUGCAUAGCCUAUGAAACAUAAUCCAAAUGGGGCAUGUUUUUGGAACUAAGUUAGAGCAUGCACAUCAAGGCCAAGCAAUGAGUGAACCUAUUGAAAUACCUCAUCAUGAAGCAAUGCAAUCAACAAAAAUGCAAUGUACACAAACCUGUAUCACCAAGCCUACAAACCAGCAAAGUAUUCAUGAACAAGCACAUGGUACAUCAGUUGAAUUGCCGCGGGAAACUUACCAAAUAUGGACUUAGCAAGCACAUGAUACAUCAAUAGCAAUCUGCAGUAAUAGUCUUGUUUUUGAUCUACCAUGAAGCCAUUUACAACAGACGGUGACUUGCAUCCUUGGUUUAGCAAUCAACAUAUUGUAUCAUCAUAAUCAUGCCCAAUAAUGCAUCAGUCCUGAACCAACAAGAAGCAGACCAUGUCCAACACUAGUCUAGGUACACACAUGCUCAAACCACCAGCCAAUGGACCACCAACAUGAGCUAGCAUCAAGGUAUCACGAGGAAAUUAUUCACAGGCACACUGGUUCCAUUGGAAGCAACCAAGUGAUGAUAAACCUCAUAAGAAAAAUCUGCAACAAUAAGGCCAAACAGCA
rnacentral:lncRNA from 1 species